GCAGUUAGAGAUGGAAGAUACAGAACUAAAACAGCAUUUUACUGACUUACAAAAUCUGCUGUCAGAUCCUGCAUAUUUGUCUGCUAAUACAGCUGCGCAGAAUGCUAAAACGAAGUUAUUACAGCUAGCAAGAAAGAGUGCGAGUUGUACAGCUUUACAACGUCUGCGGAAACGGACGAAGACAGCGAUGUUGAAGAAAAACAACACAGGCAGAGAAAAAAGCGUGUUCUGGAAGAUUUUUAUACCGGUGAUGACUGAGGAAUAGAGACCAAAGAAAAAGUCACUUAACAUAAGAGUUCAGGAAGUGGACGAAAAAGGAAAGAUGACUCAAAAAGAUUUCAGCUCUGUUAGGUCCAUUCAUGAGAGAGCAGAAGUAUCCCCACCAGAGAUGUCACCAAACUUGAGGAGAGAACAAAAACCGCUAGUGGAAGUCGUCCACAAAAUUCUCAAAAUCCAGACAACCCAAGUUAAUCCUCAGAAUCAUAGUGGUUUAAAACAAGUUCCCCACUCACCAUACAGCAUUUCACAAGAAAGUUUGGCAAGGUCCAGUCAUGAGAGAGAAGAGGUGUCCCCAUCAAACUUGGGCAACAUAUCACCAAGACGUUCACCGCGAAAGCUUGUGGAGACACGCAAAAAAAGUUGUCCACAAAAUUCUAAUCAUGGAAAGACUACAAAAUGAAAUCCGCAUAAAAAAGUCCCCCACUCACCAUACAGCAUUUCACAAGAAAGUAAGUAGCCAUUGACUUGUAAGACAACUGUCUGGAAGCAUAAGAUUCACAUGUUUACUUUUUUAAGCAUUAUUUUGUACCUGCCCAUGUAACUGAUAGAAUCAAAGAGCUUGCUCAUUUGUUACUUACCUUUCUGGUGUGAGUAAACUCGAAUUAGUGUUGGUAAAAGGCAAAAAAAAAAAAACAUUUCCUGUAUAAAGUUGCAAGUCCAGUGUUAAAUAAUUGUGUUACAUUUGUUUUUUCUUGUUCUUUUGUUGAACACUUCAUAUAUGAGGAUGAUCAGGCUUUUCACAUUGCAUGAUACUGCUUAAUAUAUGUUGGACCGUUAACUAUUUGAAACGUUUUUAUUAUAGGCUCUGCAAGGUCCAGCCGAGACAGCCAUGGGUGUCUCCUUCAGAUUUUGAGAGGUCGCCAAGGCGUUCACCCCGGAAGCUUGUAAAGACUAUAAACAUUGCCAGUGGAAGCCAUCAACAAAAUUAUCAGGAUCAGCAGACUACCCUGUAAAUCCACGCAAGCAUUUGACCCAAAUACCUAACUCAGGGAAAAGCUCUCCAUUUCCCAUGUCACAGGAGAGGUUCCAAAGAAAAGUGAUUACUAUUCUUGCUGAAAUAAAAAUGGACCUGGAUGAGCUAUGGGACAGGAGCCAGAUGGGGUUGCCAGGGGACGCGAGAGAUAUUCCUCUACAGGCAAGAUCGGUAGGAGUUUGAAGAUCUAAACCGGCCACUGAAAUUUGCAGAGGAUUGCAGGAAAUUGGUACGAGCGCUUUCCCGUGUUGGUGGAAGUAGUGUCAAUGAAAAUCAUGAAGAAACUGAUGUCAUACGAGGCCAUGGCUGGAUAUAGUAUUAAGGGGAGAAAGGGAAAAAUGACCCUUGGAGAACUUCAGAUUUUUCAAGUCAUUCGAGAAAAGAGAGUGAUGACAAUUGUACUGAUGAGCUGAGCAGUGGUGAUCUCUAAUUCCAUUGGAUUAUCUCACCCAACAGUCGGAGGACCUUGUUUCCUUUUGAGGACUUACACUGUUCGACAUACACAUGUAAACUUGCAGCUAGUAAUUUCUUAUCCAUGUGGAAAAGUGGUGAAAUAGGGAUGGCUUCUAAAGCAUUCACUGCUCAUUUCUGUUUGUUAAUUUGGUUUAUUUGGAUCAUCUACAUAAAAACAAUAUGUAUACAAAUUCUUUAAAAAAGGUUGAAGAUGAGCCUCAAAAGUUGAACUCAAUGAUAUUCUAAAUUCUAAAAAGAUACGUGUCUCUGAUUUCAGAAUUGCUGUUUGAUUCCGACAAAGAUGAGAUAGUUAUGAAUGGUGGUGAGAUAGAUGAGCUAGUCAUGAAUAAUGGGAAGUCAUUUGUUAAAUUAUCUCAUUCCAAGAUGCUGUUGUCUACAGUUGAUGCAAUUUGCUGAGACUUAUCCAGCAGUUUUUAAAGUGUCUAAUUUGUGGUUAAUAAUGAAACUCGCAGUAUGCCUAAGAUUUUAUUUAAGAUAAUAUUAACAGUAGUCUUAUGCUAGAGUCAUAAAGGUGUAACAUAAUUUUAUAAUUAAAUUACAUUUACAACAUGACAUACAGUGUGUAUACAAUAUGUCAUGGCUUGCGUAAAAAAGUGUGUAACGUUGUCAUUAAUUAUGAUUCUUUCCUGAAAUUCUUUCAAAUAUGCGUACAGAUUUUCACAUGUUCAAAAUAAUGUCAUUUUUACCGGUUAGGUCCACUCGCUUCUAAUGCCAUGGCCCUCUCAUUGGCGUUGGUUUAAGUUUUAGGUUAUGGUCACUGGCGCCAAUCAGAAAGAAAAUGUCUCUGUACAUGUUAUACCAUACC
rnacentral:misc_RNA from 1 species